rnacentral:rRNA from 1 species
AGUGACCUACGGGGGGCAGCAGUGGGGAAUAUUGCACAAUGGGGGGAACCCUGAUGCGGCGACGCCGCGUGGGUGAGGAAGUACUUCGGUAUGUAAAGCCCUAUCAGCAGGGAAGAAAAUGACGGUACCUGACUAAGAAGCCCCGGCUAACUACGUGCCAGCAGCCGCGGUAAUACGUAGGGGGCAAGCGUUAUCCGGAUUUACUGGGUGUAAAGGGUGCGUAGGUGGCAGGGCAAGUCAGAUGUGAAAGCCCGGGGCUCAACCCCGGUACUGCAUUUGAAACUGUCCAGCUGGAGUGCAGGAGG